UACAGAGGGGGCAAGCGUUAUUCGGAAUUAUUGGGCGUAAAGGGCGCGUAGGCGGCUUGGCAAGUGGAAGGUGAAAUCCCUCGGCUUAACCGGGGAACUGCGUCCGAUACUGGAUGGCUUGAGUUCGGGAGAGGGAUGCGGAAUUCCAGGUGUAGCGGUGAAAUGCGUAGAUAUCUGGAGGAACACCGGUGGCGAAGGCGGCAUCCUGGACCGACACUGACGCUGAGGAGCGAAAGCUAGGGGAGCAAACAGG
rnacentral:rRNA from 1 species